rnacentral:lncRNA from 1 species
GGCGCUCUUUGGAUUUGGAGCGCGAUUCGGAAGCUUUUUUAGCCGGCCACGAAGGCGCCCGAGGUUCUUUGGGCGCUUUGCGUUCCCGCGAGCGUUUGCUUUUCUUCCGCGAUCCCGAACUGGAAGCCGAACGGGUUUGCGAAGGAGGCCGGAAACGCUCGCGCCGUUGCGUGAGGAUCUUGCGCCGCAAAUCGGCCCCUUUCCAGCGCGGGUCGGGCUGGCUGUCGCCGAAGUCCACCUGCAGCGCGGCCUCCUCGUCCGAAUCGGCGUGAAGCGAGAGGAAAUCGUCGCCCUCGGGCAACCGCAGCGCCCGCGGUUCGGCGGCCCGGCACCGGCUCCGGAAAAGCCGGAUGGGGCUGUAACGCUCGUCCUCGGGCUGCACGAUUUCGCCUUCCUCGAUCUCCGAGUCGCCUUCGGCGCCUCCCCAGUCGAGCGGCGCCCGGCGCCCGGCCCGGUGCCGCCCGCUCUUGGCGCCUUUCUCGCCCCGCGCCGGCGCUUUGGGGUUGCCCGCCGUCACCACCUCCAGCGACACUUUUCCUUCCAGCUUGGGAUUGGCCUCGGCUUCCGAGCGGCUCUUGGCUGCCAAGUCGACGACGAAAACGCGCCGCCGCGGCUCCGGCUCGGCUCCGUCCGACUGCUCCGAGGCGUUUUCCUCCUCCGGCAGCGUCGAGUCGGCUCCCGGCGGCUGCUCUUUGGGCUCGGAGGGUUCGGCGGGCGCUUUGUCGGGUCGCGGCGGCCGCGACGCCGGGCUGGAGSUGGGUUCCGCUUCCUCCGGGCCUUUUUCGGAGCCCGGGAAAUCCUGGCUGAGGCUGUUGUCGUCGUAGAUGCCGGCCAACGUCUCCGAGAUGCGGCUGAUGCUGUGCGACAUGUCGGGCCGGGCGGCGGCGGCGGCGGCCGCCUCGUCGUCCUCGUCGUCGUCAUCGUCCUCCUCGUCGUCGUCCUCCUCCUCCUCUUCCUCCUCGUCGUCGGGGCUGGGGCUGCUGCGGGACGAGCUGGGGUUGGAGCCGGUGGGGUCGAAGGGGUCGUACUUCUGGUCCUGCCGCCCUUCGGCCUCUUUGCGGGGCGAGGCGCCGUAGGCGAAGUCGCCGCCGGCGUUGUCCUCGUCCGUGGGGUGGAAAGGGUCAUAAAUAUCGAGGUCGGGCGAGCGGGGAAGGCAGGCGGCGGCGGCGGCGGCGGGCGGCGCGCCGGGCUGCGAGGAGGAGGAGGCCG